UUUUUAACCACUGCACUUCAUUAAAAUAUUUUUGCCACACAGCACAUAGCUUCAUGGCGAUAAUAAAUGUUGAUGAAAUAGAAUAACCUCCAACUGAAUAAAAAUACCAAUUACGCCGAAACUAAAUUGAUUUUAUGAAAUAUUCUUAAAUACCUUUAAAAAUAAUUGGCAAUUCAACAAGAAAUAUGUGCAGACAAUAGCCAACUAUGUGUUACCCAAUGCCAAAUAAUUGUUAACAGUUGUUUAUGAAUAUUUUGGAUUUUUGGUUGAAUAUUGUCGUAUUCGAUCUCGCCGAAGAGGCUGGUAAAGAAACCUCAACCGCCUUGAAACUGUUUACUGAUCUACAUCACAGACAUAAAGAACUUGAGAGAAGUUUGAAUGAAUUUGCUUGGCUUUGCAGUCACCGUAAAUUUGAGUUUCAAUUAUUUGGACUCUUUAUGAUAAACUAUGACUUGGGCUUUGAUAUGGUCAUCACCAGUUUUCUUUACUUGGUUUACUUGGUACAGUUUGAUUAUAUGCA